rnacentral:rRNA from 1 species
AAUGCCUAGGAAUCUGCCUGGUAGUGGGGGAUAACGUUCGGAACCGGACGCUAAUACCGCAUACGUCCUACGGGAGAAAGCAGGGGACCUUCGGGCCUUGCGCUAUCAGAUGAGCCUAGGUCGGAUUAGCUAGUUGGUGAGGUAAUGGCUCACCAAGGCGACGAUCCGUAACUGGUCUGAGAGGAUGAUCAGUCACACUGGAACUGAGACACGGUCCAGACUCCUACGGGAGGCAGCAGUGGGGAAUAUUGGACAAUGGGCGAAAGCCUGAUCCAGCCAUGCCGCGUGUGUGAAGAAGGUCUUCGGAUUGUAAAGCACUUUAAGUUGGGAGGAAGGGUUGUAGAUUAAUACUCUGCAAUUUUGACGUUACCGACAGAAUAAGCACCGGCUAACUCUGUGCAGCAGCCGCGGUAAUACAGAGGGUGCAAGCGUUAAUCGGAAUUACUGGGCGUAAAGCGCGCGUAGGUGGUUUGUUAAGUUGGAUGUGAAAUCCCCGGGCUCAACCUGGGAACUGCAUUCAAAACUGACUGACUAGAGUAUGGUAGAGGGUGGUGGAAUUUCCUGUGUAGCGGUGAAAUGCGUAGAUAUAGGAAGG